UACAGAGGGUGCGAACGUUGUUCGGAAUUACUGGGCGUAAAGCGCGUGUAGGCGGCAACGCAAGUCGGGCGUGAAAUCCCACGGCUCAACCGUGGAAGUGCACUCGAAACUGCGUAGCUAGAGUCCUGGAGAGGAAGGUGGAAUGCUUGGUGUAGAGGUGAAAUUCGUAGAUAUCAAGCGGAACACCGGUGGCGAAGGCGGCCUUCUGGACAGUGACUGACGCUGAGACGCGAAAGCGUGGGGAGCAAACAGG
rnacentral:rRNA from 1 species